UUUAUUAUCGUUAAUUUUUCA
rnacentral:piRNA from 1 species